rnacentral:rRNA from 1 species
GUGCCAGCAGCCGCGGUAAUACAGGGGGGGCAAGCGUUGUUCGGAAUUACUGGGCGUAAAGGGCUCGUAGGCGGCCAACUAAGUCCGACGUGAAAUCCCAAAGCUUAACUUUGGAACUGCGUCGGAUACUGGAUGGCUUGAAUUCGGGAGAGGGAUGCAGAAUUCCAGGUGUAGCGGUGAAAUGCGUAGAUAUCUGGAGGAAUACCGGUGGCGAAGGCGGCAUCCUGGACCGACAUUGACGCUGAGGAGCGAAAGCUAGGGGAGCAAACGGGAUUAGAUACCCGUGUAGUCC